UCUCCUGAUCUACAAGACUUAUAAAAUGAGCCUCCUGUUCAAUCCAACUGAAAAUGAUGGCUGGCUAAGCAACAGGCUUUCUGGCCGUAUCAACCUCUCUCUUACAGCUCCCGCAUCAAGAAAGGUGCAGAGUGGAUUAACUUCGCAGUGUAUCCUGACAUAAUGAAGACUAACGAUUCAAAAGAAGAGGGGUUUAAAACCUGUGAGGUUUACGUAAAUCUCCAUUAAUGAUCAUAGAAUCACAGCAUGGUGGGGGUUGGGAGGGACCUUUAGAGAUCAUCCAGUCCAACCCCCCUGCCAAAGCGGCUCCCACCUAGAUCAGGUCACACAGGAACAUGACCAGCUUCAUCCCAUCACCCCUUGUCCGGGCACUGGAUACAACAGAAACAAGUGCUGCCCCAACCUCCUGACACCCACCACUGAGACAUUUGUCAAUAUUAAUAAGAUCCCCCCUCAGUCUCCUCUUCUCCAGACUGAACAGCCCCAGGUCCCACAGCCUUUCCUCACAAGGAAGAUGCUCCAGUACCCUCAGCAUCUUGGUAGCCCUGCGACACAUUCAACUAUCAGGUCUACAGGUAGAAUGAAGAGAGAUGAGGAGUUAGGGCAUGUUCAUAUGGACACUUUGGAGGAGGACAUCUCAGUGAGGGUUUCUGCAAGCUGCUGGAGCAAAAGGAUCCACAGUGAUUGUCUGAUACCUAGUAAGAGCAUUUCUGACCCUACAUUAAGAGAACUGCCUCAGAAGUGAGAACAAGAACAUCCUUCACACUGUCAACUCCAACAGACCGCUGCUGAACUUCACCCGUGAUAAUUAACACCCCAUGCUCCUCUGAAGGCCAGCGUGAUACAAGUGCCAGUAGCACAAACUGGAUGAAGAAAUCUAUCCUCAAGGUGGACGGAAAUUAUCCUAAGGACAAACACUUGGUUUCCCAGGUUUCAGUCCCUGACAGCAAGGCUUCCCCUCUUUCCUGGCACCACUUACAGAAGUAACUGAAUUGCUUUCUGAAGUAUUUACUGAGGAAGUAACUACAUCUGCACCUUACUCAAGAGUAGGAGCAGGACAGACAAUUGUGUUUGAAGGCU